GGGGUAUUUCGCUGGAGGAGGUCGUCGGCAGUGCUUACUGCAACACCGCCCGGGUAAGCUUCCUUCUUAAUUUUCCCGAGUUUUUAGCGUACAUAUGUGCUUUUCAACUCACAAUACCCUCGUUUCUUUCUUUUCAGCAUAUUCUCGAGCUCGACACCAUGGCGUUCAUCGCCCAUGGGUAUCGGAAAGAAGUUCAACAGCUCGGCCAGCAACUGGAG
rnacentral:lncRNA from 1 species